rnacentral:rRNA from 1 species
AAAAGUCAAGCUACUAAGGGCAUACGGUGGAUGCCUAGGCGCCAAGAGCCGAAGAAGGACGCGGUAAGCUGCGAAAAGCCACGGGGAACUGCAAGCAAGUAUUGAUCCGUGGAUAUCCGAAUGGGGAAACCCGGCCAUCGUCAUGGAUGGUCACCCGCAAGGGAGGGAACCUGGGGAACUGAAACAUCUAAGUACCCGGAGGAAGAGAAAUCAAACGAGAUGCCCACAGUAGCGGCGAGCGAAGAGGGCAGAGCCCANNNNNNNNNNACGAGAUGCCCACAGUAGCGGCGAGCGAAGAGGGCAGAGCCCAAACCGAGAAGCUCCGGCUUUUCGGGGUUGAGGACCGGCAGAAUCGAAGUCAGGCCUAGUCGAAUUACCUGGAAAGGUAAGCGAGAGAGGGUAAAAGCCCCGUAGACGAAAGGCAGAGCAGAGAGGCCGAGAUCCAGAGUACCACGAAGCACGAGGAAUUUUGUGGGAAGCAGGGGGGACCACCCUCCAAGGCUAAAAACUACUUGGCGACCGAUAGCGCAUAGUACCGUGAGGGAAAGGUGAAAAGAACCCCGGGAGGGGAGUGAAAUAGUACCUGAAACCGUAUGUCUACAAGCAGUCGAAGCGAAAGCGACGGCGUGCCUAUUGAAGAAUGAACCAACGAGUUAUCUGCACUAGCGAGGUUAAGUGGAAGACACGGAGCCGCAGCGAAAGCGAGUCUUAAGAGGGCGCUAGUUAGUGUAGGUAGACCCGAAACCGCAGUGAUCUACCCAUGUCCAGGUUGAAGCGCAGGUAAAAUUGCGUGGAGGACCGAACCGGUGAGCGUUGAAAAGCUUUCGGAUGAGAUGUGGGUAGGGGUGAAAUUCCAAUCGAACGCGGAGAUAGCUGGUUCUCCCCGAAAUAGCUUUAGGGCUAGCCUGAGGUAGUAAGUAUAGGCGGUAGAGCACUGAUCGGGCUAGGGGCCGUAAAGGUUACCGAACCCUGUCAAACUCCGAAUGGAUAUACUGUAGAGCCUUGGAGUCAGACUACGAGUGAUAAGAUCCGUGGUCAAAAGGGAAACAGCCCAGACCACCAGCUAAGGUCCCCAAUGUCGUACUAAGUGGAAAAGGAUGUGGGGUUUCAUAAACAACCAGGAUGUUGGCUCAGAAGCAGCCACCAUUUAAAGAGUGCGUAAUAGCUCACUGGUCGAGAGACCCUGCGCCGAAGAUUCCCGGGGCUAAAGUACGAAACCGAAGCUGUGGCUGUAUACGUAAAGUAUACGGGGUAGGGGAGCGUUCCCAUAGGGUAGAAGUCGAACUGGAAGGUUCGGUGGACUUGUGGGAAGUGAGAAUGUUGGUAUGAGUAGCGAAAAGAAAGGUGAGAAUCCUUUCCACCGAAAGCAUAAGGAUUCCUGAGCAACGAUCGUCGUCUCAGGGUAAGUCGGGACCUAAUCCGAGGCAGAGAGCGUAGGAGAUGGACAACUGGUUGAUAUUCCAGUACCGGUAGUAAUUGUUUGAGCAAUGGAGUGACACAGAAGGGCAGGCAAGCAUGCGAAUGGAAGAGCAUGUGUAAGCGUGUAGGGUGGUGCAUAGGCAAAUCCGUGCACUGAAAGCCUGAGGCGUGAUGCGGAGUGAGCAGAGAUGCGAGCGAAGUUGCUGACCCCACACUGUCGAGAAAAGCUUCUAGUGAGAGAGCUACCGCCCGUACCGUAAACCGACACAGGUAUGCGGGGAGAGAAUCCUAAGGUGCGCGGGAGAACCCUCGUUAAGGAACUCGGCAAAAUGUACCCGUAACUUCGGGAUAAGGGUAGCCACUGUUGUGAAGUCCCAUGCGGAUGGAGCAUAGAGUGGUCGCAGAGAAGAGGCCCAAGCGACUGUUUACCAUAAACACAGGUGCCUGCUAAAGCGAAAGCUGACGUAUAGGUGCUGACACCUGCCCAGUGCCGGAAGGUUAAGGAAGGAUGUUCGGAUUAGUCCAAAGCAUUCGACUGAAGCCCCGGUGAACGGCGGCCGUAACUAUAACGGUCCUAAGGUAGCGAAAUUCCUUGUCGGGUAAGUUCCGACCCGCACGAAAGGUGUAACGAUUUGGGCACUGUCUCAACGAGGGACCCGGUGAAAUUGAAAUACCUGUGAAGAUGCAGGUUACCCGCGACUGGACAGAAAGACCCCAUGGAGCUUUACUGUAACCUGACAUUGGGUUUUGAUACAUUACGUACAGGAUAGGUGGGAGGCUUGGAAAGUUGGACGCUAGUCUGGCUGGAGCCGACGUUGGGAUACCACCCUUGAUGUAUUGAAAUUCUAACCGCGAGAGUAACGAAAUCCGGGACAGUGUCAGGCGGGCAGUUUGACUGGGGCGGUCGCCUCCGAAAGAGUAACGGAGGCGCCCAAAGGUUCCCUCAGCGCGGCCGGAAAUCGCGCGAAGAGUGUAAAGGCAGAAGGGAGCUUGACUGCGAGUCAAACACGACGAGCAGGUACGAAAGUAGGGCUUAGUGAUCCGGUGGUACCGAGUGGAAGGGCCAUCGCUCAACGGAUAAAAGCUACCCUGGGGAUAACAGGCUAAUCUCUCCCAAGAGUCCAUAUCGACGGGGAGGUUUGGCACCUCGAUGUCGGCUCAUCACAUCCUGGGGCUGAAGUCGGUCCCAAGGGUUGGGCUGUUCGCCCAUUAAAGUGGUACGUGAGCUGGGUUCAGAACGUCGUGAGACAGUUCGGUCCCUAUCCAUCGCGGGCGCAAGAGAUUUGAAGGGGGCUGCUCCUAGUACGAGAGGACCGGAGUGGACGAACCGCUGGUGUACCAAUUAUCCCGCCAGGGGUACAGUUGGGUAGCUACGUUCGGAAAGGAUAAACGCUGAAAGCAUCUAAGCGUGAAACCAGCCUUAAGAUGAGAUCUCUCAUAGAGCAAUCUAGUAAGACACCUUAAAGAAGAUGAGGUUGAUAGGUCGGGAGUGUAAGUACAGCAAUGUAUUGAGCGGACCGAUACUAAUAUGUCGAGGGCUUGACUUA